AACGAACGCUGGCGGCAGGCUUAACACAUGCAAGUCGAACGCUCGACCUUCGGGUCGGGAGUGGCAGACGGGUGAGUAACGCGUGGGAACGUACCCUUCGGUUCGGGAUAACCCAGGGAAACGUUGGGCUAAUACCGGAUACGUCCUGGCCUGGAGACAGGGUGGGAGAAAGGUUUACUGCCGAAGGAUCGGCCCGCGUCGGAUUAGCUAGUUGGUGGGGUAACGGCCCGACCAAGGCGACGAUCCGUAGCUGGUCUGAGAGGAUGA
rnacentral:rRNA from 1 species